rnacentral:rRNA from 1 species
UACGGAGGGUGCAAGCGUUAUCCGGAUUUACUGGGUUUAAAGGGUGCGUAGGUGGAUAAUUAAGUCAGUGGUGAAAUCUUCAGGCUUAACCUGGAAACUGCCAUUGAUACUAUUUGUCUUGAAUACUUUGGAGGUAAGCGGAAUAUGUCAUGUAGCGGUGAAAUGCUUAGAUAUGACAUAGAACACCAAUUGCGAAGGCAGCUUAACU